rnacentral:lncRNA from 1 species
GAAAAUUGUUGCUAUUUAUACUUUUCUAGUUCAGACACAGGGGCCUUACUCAUAAGGUGACCACUAUAACACUGCCAUUUUAUUCUCUUUGGUAAUUUUAGGACACUUCAAUCUUCCUUAAGACUCCUUGUAUGGGAACUGUGUGUGGAAACUGAUGGAAAUUCUCUUCCUCACUGCUAUGAUGAGGGGAAGUUUGGCUCUCCGGGAUGUUGCUUGCCUGAACAUUAGUGAAGACUCAGAAGGAUGGCUAGAGAACAUCAGUCUGAAUAGAAGCAUUAUGAAAUUCAACUGUCAAAGAAUUAUUUAUGGUAACUUUGCAAGCUGCUUUUCUUUUGGUAAUAAACCAAAUAAGUAGAAAUAUGGCAAUUGUCUUAUUGCUUGAUUUUUACUUCUUUCCUUCUUCGUGUCUGUAAUUUCUUUCUCAAAUACAUACAUAUGAAGUUUAACAGACAGACUUCUGUAAUACUCUGACAUAAUCUCAAUGCUCUGUUCUUGUGAGUAUAGAUGUAAACACUUAAACUAAGGUCCUUUGUAACAAUAACUCUUUCCACCAGCUGCCCGCUUCAGGGCCCCCAAAUAACACACAGAGUCUUAUAUUAGUUACAGUGCUGCUGUCCAAUGACUAGGAUUUCUAAUAUGCUAGCUCAGUCUUAAUUAUCAACCAUAACUACUAAUGUAUAUAUUUUAUAAAGACUUAUCUUACCUAGGAUGCCAGUGGCAUGCAUCCUCUCUUCCUGGGAUCACAUGGCGACUCCGUCCCUUUCCUACAUUCCCCAGAAUCCUCCUUCUCUCCUACUCCCACCUAACUUGCUUCCCUAUUGGCCAACAGUGCUUUAUUUCUCAACCAAUAAGAGAGACAUAUACACAGAAGGACUUCCCCCAUCAGUCCUCCAGCAAAGUUCCCCUUGCUCUAGAAUUACUGCCUUGGUUGCUCCACCAUAAUACAACCCCCUCCAGUUGUCUUAAGCUUAUAAACUGUUUAUUAACUCUUACUUUGGAUAGAUAAUUCAUUCAAACAUAAACCAAUAUGUAGGAUUGUGAUUAUUCUUGAAACAUUUUAAAAAUAGAUGAGACUUGAGCUCUUAAGCUUAUUUUGAUAUUAUAAGAAAACAGUGCAAGGGAUUCAGUUCUAUGUCUCUACAUUUACAUACCAGAACACCUUUGGAAAUUAAUAGUGUGCUAUGAAAACUCAGAAUCUUCACAGGUAAUUCUAGACCAAGUCUUUCUUGGCCUAAGGAUUUAGAUGAAAAUACAUAAAUACAAUGCAGAUUUGCGACAAAGUAUAUAGCAGAUAACUUUGGACAGCAAAUUUAUAUGUGAUACAUGUAUUUGUUUACUGUAAUUAGUAGUUUUUGACAAUUUCAAUAAUGUAUAUAAUA